UUUAUUUGUAAUAACUAUCUGAUCAAAUGCUAUUUGGUCAGCAGACUGCAAUAAGAUUGAGUGGAAUAUCUGAGAAGGCUUACAUUAGAUCUUAUAACGUGAAGUAGAACAGAAUCAGUGUCAAGUAUGAUUGAAGGUAUAAAGACCAACACAUCAUUAGUAUGCCGUUUUGACACAUUAGUAAGAACGAUGGUGCGAGGAAGAUGAUGUUAAUUCAAAUGUUACAACAUUGCAGUGAGCCUAUUUUUGUAACAAUUCUAGGCCUUUGGCUCAUCAACUUUUAAGUUAUCUCUGCUUUCUUGAUGAUUUCAUUGUUAUUAAACUGUAUCAUCUACCUGUGAUUAUGUAAUCAUAUAAGUUAUUUGACAGAUGAAUGUUGUUACUUCAGCUACGUUCUCAAUCCUGUAUUGGUGAUAAUAGAUGUCCGACCCAAGGAAUUGGGAAUACCCACUAAAGCUUACUAUGUUAUU
rnacentral:lncRNA from 1 species